AAGUCGUAACAAGGUUUCCGUAGGGGAACCUGCGAAAGUUAGUGUCUGAAAGUGUCAUUAACUGUGUAAGGAUGACGCAGUCACGAUCGUUGGAGGCCCACACGGCCGACGACCGGGUCACUGAACGCUGCCAAUCGCGGCCGCGAUAAUACGCAGUCGACAAAAAACCGAACAACUGUUAACAAUGGAUAUCUUGGUUCUC
rnacentral:misc_RNA from 1 species